GAUGUAACAGUUAACGAAUAGCAUUCCAGAAAUGCAUAUGCAUAUAUUAGUACAGCGACAAUUUGGUGGAUUAAGUUAAAAGACUGCAUGCUUAGUUUUAUUAGCAGCCAAACAAAAGAUUUAACAAAAACCCCAAAGCCUUCGUCCAUUGUCAACGAGUGAAGCAUUUAAUAUAUACACAAAUAAAAUGGUCACAACUCACAACAAUGGAUCCAAAGUAAGGUUAUAAAACUUACAAGCUUAGGUCCCAAAUCAAGUUUACAAGUAGAGUUUUAUGAUUCAAGUUUACAGUCAACUAUAUAUGUCUUGUACUAACUGCUAACUAUGUAACACCAACCAUACCUCUGAUACCAUCUUGGUUGUGUUCAUAUUUUGUAGCUUAAUUAAGCUUCAGGUAAUUAAGUUAGCAAACUAACUUUCAUUGACCAAGCAAAUAUUUUAUGGUGCAUUUAAUUAUUUCAGGUUAUCCAAGAGGCCAUGAGGGUUUACACUGUCUCCCCAUUAGUUGCAAGAGAAACAUCAACUGAAGUAGAGAUAGGAGGUUAUCUCCUUCCAAAGGGAACAUGGGUGUGGCUAGCACUUGGAGUUCUAGCAAAAGACC